CAAAAACAGGACAUGUAAAUUAUUUACAAUGAGCAGAGCAUAACCAGCUUGGGAAAACUCAUUCAGAGUUCUACAAACAUUCAUGUCAAUGUGAAGCAUUUCAUACUGGUCAAGAAUAGAACAGAUUUUUCGAAAUGUCAACUUUCCACUGGAAUUAAUCUCUAUACAAAAUAGUGUUUCACACAUCAAAAUGCAACUUACUAAUACAUAAUUAGCUUCCGACUUUCGUUUUGCAAAGCAGGAAACAAAUAGGCCGUGACUACUACUAAAUUGCACAACAUUCAGAUUCAAAGUUUGCCUUCUAACAAAAAAGAGAGUUUUGUUAUGUAUAAAUGGUAAGGCAAAAAAUUAUGAGAUCUAUAAGCUCCAUCUAUAAGCAG